rnacentral:misc_RNA from 1 species
GAUGAAGAACGUAGCGAAAUGCGAUACUUGGUGUGAAUUGCAGAAUCCCGUGAACCAUCGAGUCUUUGAACGCAAGUUGCGCCCGAAGCCAUUAGGCCGAGGGCACGCCUGCCUGGGCGUCACACGUCGUUGCCCCCCCAUCUACUCCUUCGGGAUUGCGGGGGGUGGAUGAUGGCCUCCCGUGCGCCUCGCCGCGCGGUUGGCAUAAAUGCCAAGUCCUCGGCGACGCACGCCACGACAAUCGGUGGUUGCGAAACCUCGGUUGCCCGUCGUGUGCGGUCGUCGCGCAUCGAGGGCUCGAAAAAAUUGCCGGGUUCCGGCUCGGCUUUCAACGCGACCCCAGGUCAGGCGGGGUUACCCGCUGAAUUUAAGCAUAUCAAUAAGCGGAGGA